rnacentral:rRNA from 1 species
UACAGAGGGUGCAACCGUUGCUCGGAAUCAUUGGGCGUCAAGCGCACGUAGGCGGCCCAGCAAGCGGGGAGUGAAAUCCCUCGGCUUAACCGAGGAACUGCCUGUCAGACUGGAAGGCUUGAGACCGGGAGAGGUGAGUGGAAUUCCCAGUGUAGCGGUGAAAUGCGUAGAUAUUGGGAGGAACACCAGUGGCGAAGGCGGCUCACUGGACCGGUACUGACGCUGAGGCGCGAAAGCGUGGGGAGCAAACAGG